rnacentral:rRNA from 1 species
UACGGAGGAUCCAAGCGUUAUCCGGAUUUAUUGGGUUUAAAGGGUGCGUAGGCGGCCUAUUAAGUCAGAGGUGAAAGACGGUAGCUCAACUAUCGCAGUGCCUUUGAUACUGAUGGGCUUGAAUGAACUAGAGGUAGGCGGAAUGAGACAAGUAGCGGUGAAAUGCAUAGAUAUGUCUCAGAACACCGAUUGCGAAGGCAGCUUGCUGUGGUUUUAUUGUCGCUGAGGCACGAAAGCCUGGGGAUCAAACAGG